rnacentral:rRNA from 1 species
GACGUAGGGUCCGAGCGUUGUCCGGAGUUACUGGGCGUAAAGGGCGCGUAGGCGGCACUGUUAGUCAGGCGUGAAAGUCCUGGGCUCAACCUGGGAACUGCGCUUGAUACGGCAGAGCUAGAGGAUGGAAGAGGGUCGCGGAAUUCCCAGUGUAGAGGUGAAAUUCGUAGAUAUUGGGAAGAACACCGGUGGCGAAGGCGGCGACCUGGUCCAUUACUGACGCUGAGGCGCGACAGCGUGGGGGAGCAA